GACGAACGCUGGCGGCGUGCUUAACACAUGCAAGUCGAACGGAAAGGCCCUGCUUUUGUGGGGUGCUCGAGUGGCGCGCGGGUGUGUAACACGUGGGUAUCCUCCCCUUGACUGUGGGAUAACUUCAGGAAACUGGGGAUCAUACCGGAUAGGACCUGCUGCUGCAUGGUGGGGGAUGGAAAGAUUCGGCUGUUGGGGAUAGACUCGCGGCUUAUCCGCUUGUUGGUGGGGUAGGGGCUUACAAGGGCUUUGAAGGGUAGCUGGCCUGAGAGGGUGGCCGGGGACAUUGGGACUGAGAUACGGCCCAGACUCCUAUGGGAGGCAGCGGGGGGGAGUAUUGCGGAAUGGGCGGACGCCUGAGACAGCAACGUUGCGUGCGGAAUGACGGGCUUCGGGGUGUAAACAGCUUUCGCAUGAGACAAGGCGUGAGUGACGGUACUGGGUAAAGAAGCACCGGCUAACUACGUG
rnacentral:rRNA from 1 species